rnacentral:misc_RNA from 1 species
GAAAUGCGAUAAGUAAUGUGAAUUGCAGAAUUCAGUGAAUCAUCGAAUCUUUGAACGCACCUUGCGCUCCUUGGUAUUCCUUGGAGCAUACCUGUUUGAGUAUCAUGAAAUCUUCAAAGUAAAUCUUUUGUUAACUCAAUUGGCUUCUACUUUGGUAUUGGAGGUCUUUGCAGCUUCACACCUGCUCCUCUUUGUUCAUUAGCUGGAUCUCAGUGUUAUGCUUGGUUCCACUCGGCGUGAUAAGUUAUCUAUCGCUGAGGACACUGUAAAAGGUGGCCAAGGUAAAUGCAGAUGAACCGCUUCUAAUAGUCCAUUGACUUGGACAAUACUUUUAUGAUCUGAUCUCAAAUCAGGUAGGACUACCCGCUGAACUUAAGC